rnacentral:rRNA from 1 species
CCUACGGGAGGCAGCAGUGGGGGAUAUUGGACAAUGGGGGAAACCCUGAUCCAGCGACGCCGCGUGAGUGAAGAAGUAUUUCGGUAUGUAAAGCUCUGUCAGCAGGGAAGAAAGCAAUGACGCUUGUUGACCAAGCAGCCGCGGCUAACUACGUGCCAGCAGCCGCGGUAAUACGUAGGGGGCCGGCGUUACGCGGAAUUAGUGGGUGUAAAGGGGGCGUUGGCGGGUGUAGAAGUGUGGAGUGAAAGGCGGGGGACCAACCCCCGGAGUGCUCUGGAAACUGUCGUGCUGGAGUGCAGGAGAGGUAUGCGGAAUGCCUGGUGUAGCGGUGAAAUGCGUAGAUAUUAGGCGGAACACCAGUGGCGAAGGCGGCUUACUGGACUGUAACUGACGUUGAGGCUCGAAAGCGUGGGGAGCAAACAGGAUUAGAUACCCGGGUAGUC